CCUACGGGUGGCAGCAGUGAGGAAUAUUGGUCAAUGGACGAGAGUCUGAACCAGCCAAGUAGCGUGAAGGAUGACUGCCCUAUGGGUUGUAAACUUCUUUUAUAUGGGAAUAAAAUGUUCCACGUGUGUGAUCUUGUCUUUACCAUAUGAAAAAGGAUCGGCUAACUCCGUGCCAGCAGCCGCGGUAAUACGGAGGAUCCGAGCGUUAUCCGGAUUUAUUGUGUUUAAAGGGAGCGUAGGUGGAUUGUUAAGUCAGUUGUGAAAGUUUGCGGCUCAACCGUAAAAUUGCAGUUGAAACUGGCAGUCUUGAGUACAGAAGAGGUGGGCGGAAUUCGUGGUGUAGCGGUGAAAUGCGUAGAUAUCACGAAGAACUCCGAUGGCGAAGGCAGUUCACUGGACUGCAACUGACACUGAGGCUCGAAAGUGUGGGUAUCAAACAGGAUUAGAUACCCUAGUAGUC
rnacentral:rRNA from 1 species